UACCAGCACCCCGAGUGGUCGGGACGAUUAUUGGGCCUAAAGCAUCCGUAGCCGGUUCUGCAAGUCCUCCGUUAAAUCCAGCUGCUCGACAGAUGGGCCGCGGAGGAUACUACAGAGCUAGGAGGCAGGAGAGGCAAGCGGUACUCAGUGGGUAGGGGUAAAAUCCGUUGAUCCAUUGAAGACCACCAGUGGCGAAGGCGGCUUGCCAGAAUGCGCUCGACGGUGAGGGAUGAAAGCUGGGGGAGCAAACCGG
rnacentral:rRNA from 1 species